AAAAGUCGUAACAAGGUUUCCGUAGGUGAACCUGCGGAAGGAUCAUUAUUGAAAUAGAAGACCCACAUGUUGGGCUUCAAUCUUUCAAAUUCAAACACAAUGUGCACUGUCUAGAUGAAUGUCAUCAUCCUUUGGGUGUGGCUACUAGUCUUACUUUUCUUCAAAACACAAGUCAUUGCAUGUAUAAACAUAUAACAAUAAAACUUUCAACAACGGAUCUCUUGGCUCCCG
rnacentral:misc_RNA from 1 species